rnacentral:rRNA from 1 species
UGGGGAAUAUUGCACAAUGGGCGAAAGCCUGAUGCAGCAACGCCGCGUGAGUGAUGAAGGCCUUCGGGUUGUAAAGCUCUGUCUUUUGGGACGAUAAUGACGGUACCAAAGGAGGAAGCCACGGCUAACUACGUGCCGGCAGCCGCGGUAAUACGUAGGUGGCAAGCGUUGUCCGGAUUUACUGGGCGUAAAGGAUGCGUAGGCGGAUUUUUAAGUGAGAUGUGAAAACCCUAAGCUUAACUUGGGGACUGCAUUUCAUACUGGAAAUCUAGAGUGCGGGAGAGGAGAAUGGAAUUCCUAGUGUAGCGGUGAAAUGCGUAGAGAUUAGGAAGAACACCAGUGGCGAAGGCGAUUCUCUGGACCGUAACUGACGCUGAGGCAUGAAAGCGUGGGUAGCAAACAGGAUUAGAUACCCUGGUAGUCCACGCCGUAAACGAUGAGUACUAGGUGUAGGAGGUAUCGACCCCUUCUGUGCCGCAGUUAACACAAUAAGUACUCCGCCUGGGAAGUACGAUCGCAAGAUU